rnacentral:rRNA from 1 species
UACAGGGGGUGCAAACGUUGCUCGGAAUCCUUGGGCGUAAAGCGCACGUAGGCGGUUUGUUAUGUCGGAUGUGAAAGCCCUUGGCUCAACUGAGGAAGUGCAUCCGAAACUGGCAAGCUAGAGUACUAAAGAGGGUCGCGGAAUUCCCGGUGUAGAGGUGAAAUUCGUAGAUAUCGGGAGGAACACCGGUGGCGAAGGCGGCGACCUGGGUAGAUACUGACGCUGAGGUGCGAAAGCGUGGGGAGCAAACAGG